AGCGAACGCUGGCGGCAGGCCUAACACAUGCAAGUCGAACGAAGUCUUCGGACUUAGUGGCGGACGGGUGAGUAACACGUGGGAACGUGCCCUUUGGUACGGAAUAACUCAGGGAAACUUGAGCUAAUACCGUAUGUGCCCUUCGGGGGAAAGAUUUAUCGCCAUUGGAGCGGCCCGCGUCUGAUUAGCUAGUUGGUGAGGUAAAGGCUCACCAAGGCGACGAUCAGUAGCUGGUCUGAGAGGAUGAUCAGCCACAUUGGGACUGAGACACGGCCCAAACUCCCACGGGAGGCAGCAGUGGGGAAUCUUGCGCAAUGGCGAAAGCCUGACGCAGCCAUGCCGCGUGAAUGAUGAAGGUCUUAGGAUUGUAAAAUUCUUUCACCGGGGACGAUAAUGACGGUACCCGGAGAAGAAGCCCCGGCUAACUUCGUGCCAGCAGCCGCAGUAAUAC
rnacentral:rRNA from 1 species